CCUCUCCCAGCACUUAGCAGUAUGACUUCAGGUAGGUGGCUUAUCACAGGCCCAAGUGUUCCAUCCACAGAUUGUAAUGGUAACUCUUUGCCUGCCUCAAGGAAGGGCCACCAGCUAACCCUUUGCAUACUGUGCCAUUAGGCUCUUUGGUUUAACCCACUAUCCAGGAGCAGAGUCACUUCAAGGCAAGACAGAAAAGCAACUUAGAAUGAGUUAAAGAACCUAAGCCUAGGCCAGGCAAAGUGGCUCACACCUGUAAUCCCAGCACCUUGGGAGGCCAAGGCAGUCAGAUUGC
rnacentral:lncRNA from 1 species